UUUAGCUCAGCUGGGAGAGCACCUGCCUUACAAGCAGGGGGUCAGCGGUUCGAUCCCGUUAA
rnacentral:tRNA from 1 species